UGCAGUCGAGCGGAACGAGUUAUCUGAACCUUCGGGGAACGAUAACGGCGUCGAGCGGCGGACGGGUGAGUAAUGCCUAGGAAAUUGCCCUGAUGUGGGGGAUAACCAUUGGAAACGAUGGCUAAUACCGCAUAAUGCCUACGGGCCAAAGAGGGGGACCUUCGGGCCUCUCGCGUCAGGAUAUGCCUAGGUGGGAUUAGCUAGUUGGUGAGGUAAGGGCUCACCAAGGCGACGAUCCCUAGCUGGUCUGAGAGGAUGAUCAGCCACACUGGAACUGAGACACGGUCCAGACUCCUACGGGAGGCAGCAGUGGGGAAUAUUGCACAAUGGGCGCAAGCCUGAUGCAGCCAUGCCGCGUGUGUGAAGAAGGCCUUCGGGUUGUAAAGCACUUUCAGUCGUGAGGAAGGUAGUGUAGUUAAUAGCUGCAUUAUUUGACGUUAGCGACAGAAGAAGCACCGGCUAACUCCGUGCCAGCAGCCGCGGUAAUACGGAGGGUGCGAGCGUUAAUCGGAAUUACUGGGCGUAAAGCGCAUGCAGGUGGUUUGUUAAGUCAGAUGUGAAAGCCCGGGGCUCAACCUCGGAAUUGCAUUUGAAACUGGCAGACUAGAGUACUGUAGAGGGGGGUAGAAUUUCAGGUGUAGCGGUGAAAUGCGUAGAGAUCUGAAGGAAUACCGGUGGCGAAGGCGGCCCCCUGGACAGAUACUGACACUCAGAUGCGAAAGCGUGGGGAGCAAACAGGAUUAGAUACCCUGGUAGUCCACGCCGUAAACGAUGUCUACUUGGAGGUUGUGGCCUUGAGCCGUGGCUUUCGGAGCUAACGCGUUAAGUAGACCGCCUGGGGAGUACGGUCGCAAGAUUAAAACUCAAAUGAAUUGACGGGGGCCCGCACAAGCGGUGGAGCAUGUGGUUUAAUUCGAUGCAACGCGAAGAACCUUACCUACUCUUGACAUCCAGAGAACUUUCCAGAGAUGGAUUGGUGCCUUCGGGAACUCUGAGACAGGUGCUGCAUGGCUGUCGUCAGCUCGUGUUGUGAAAUGUUGGGUUAAGUCCCGCAACGAGCGCAACCCUUAUCCUUGUUUGCCAGCGAGUAAUGUCGGGAACUCCAGGGAAACUGCCGGUGAUAA
rnacentral:rRNA from 1 species